UCCAUUUCAUUUCCUCUUGCUGGUGUUGUUCGUCCCCGACCGCCGACCUAGAAAUUUCAGUUCAGAAACCCAAUCUUUGUUUCUUUCGCCUCUCUUCUGUGAUGAGAAUCAAACACAUUCGCACCUCUCUGUGUGCUGAGAGAGACUAGAUGCUGAUCAAAACGCUGCGUUUCGUCGGCGAUGGUCGAAAUCCGUAUCGGAAUGCAAUCAGACGUAUCUUCAAUGACCUCAGGGAACUUAUGUUGAACGAAUCAAAGCGGAAGUUGUGUAGUCUCCUGCUCAUGCUCUUUCCUUGAUAGCAACCGUACAAGUUUUCUGGAAGAGUGUGGGCAGUGGGUGCUCUUUAUUGCUGGGAGAACAUGUGUUUAAAGAGAGAAGAAAAUUAGACUUUUCUUGUGUGGUGAUGAGGGAUCUUUUGAGCAAGUAUGGUGUGAGAGAGAGAGAGAGAGAGAGACAACUUGAGAGUUUGGUUUGACUAUUGACGAGAGGAAGAAGAUUGGGUUUUUAUCAGAGUUCUAAGGUCGAUUUUUUUCAAUCUAAUUUCUUUUCCUUAUUUCCUUUUGGGAGGAUCGGAACUAUG